UCUACUAUACAUCCUCUCUAUGUUGGGGGAGGGAAAAGAAGUUGUGAGAACCAGCGUAUUAUCUCAGCGAUGGCGGUUUCUUUGGAAGUCCGUUGCAGUUUCACUCAAUUUCGGCGUCCUCAAUUACCCCUAUGAUGAAAGAACCAAAAAGAAAAUUCUUGCUUCCGUAGCUUCCAUCAAUAGAGAGCUUCAUUAUUGGAGGUCUUGCGAGAAAAUCAAAGCAUUUGAUUACCCCUAUGAUGGAAGAAUCAAAAAGAAAAUUCUUGCUUUCGUAGCUUCAAUCAAUAGAGAGCUUCAUUAUUGGAGGUCUUGCGAGAAAAUCAAAGCAUUUAGGGUUUUUCCCGUUAAAUACAAAGAGUAUCUUGUUAAAGAUGU
rnacentral:lncRNA from 1 species